GGGUCAUUAGCUCAGCUGGUAGAGCACCGGACUUUUAAUCCGUUGGUCGUAGGUUCGAAUCCUACAUGACCCACCA
rnacentral:tRNA from 1 species